rnacentral:pre_miRNA from 1 species
CUUUUUGCGGUCUGGGCUUGCUGUGUAUACACGAGUGCGGGAAGCCCUUACCCCAAAAAGCAU